UACGUAGGGUGCGAGCGUUGUCCGGAAUUAUUGGGCGUAAAGAGCUCGUAGGCGGCCUGUCGCGUCGGAUGUGAAAGCCUGGGGCUUAACCCCGGGUCUGCAUUCGAUACGGGCAGGCUAGAGUGUGGUAGGGGAGAUCGGAAUUCCUGGUGUAGCGGUGAAAUGCGCAGAUAUCAGGAGGAACACCGGUGGCGAAGGCGGAUCUCUGGGCCAUUACUGACGCUGAGGAGCGAAAGCGUGGGGAGCGAACAGG
rnacentral:rRNA from 1 species